rnacentral:rRNA from 1 species
UACAGAGGGUGCAAGCGUUAAUCGGAGUUAUUGGGCGUAAAGCGUGCGUAGGUGGAAAUUUAAGUCGAAUGUGAAAGCCCCGGGCUUAACCUGGGAACUGCGUUCGAUACUGAGUUUCUAGAGUAUGGUAGAGGAAGGUGGAAUUUCCGGUGUAGCGGUGAAAUGCGUAGAUAUCGGAAAGAACAUCAGUUGCGAAGGCGGCCUUCUGGGCCAAUACUGACACUGAGGCACGAAAGCGUGGGGAG